UUAGUAAUACUAAUCCUCAAACUACCUGAUUAUUUUAAAUUCCUUCUAUAAAAUCUCGUUUCCCCUUUUCAUCACAACCCUAAAUCGAUCGCCCUAACUUCAUCUUGCUGCACAAUCAUGUCGCCGUCGUCCAGUUCGUAGUCGCCACGUCACCAUGCUGUCGUCGUCGCCACACCAUCACGCCGUCAUCAUCCAACCCGUCGCCGCCACACCAUUACACCUCUGUCAUCGAAGUCGUCAUCCCUACGCCACCGGCAAUGUGGUAUAUUUGAUCCACAUCGGCAUCACUUUCUCAACAAGUAUUUGACGUCUAUAAUCCUCUUGUAUAUCGAGUUAUGUUUUAAUCUUAUGCUUCUAGCUUUCUGUUCAUACUCUUAUUGCGUUUUAUUGGACACGAUUCAAGCUUAUGUCAUGGUUAUUUAUUUCCUUUUAUACUGAUUGAAUAUGAUUGUGGCUUAAUUGAAUAUAAUUCAGCUCUUGUAUACUGAUUGAAUAAGUUUCUGGCUUAGUUGAAUAUGGUUCAGCUCUUGUACACCGAUUGUCAUAGAGAUUUUCUUAAAAACGAUUCAACUCUUUCUAGCUUAAUUGAAUACAGUUUUGUUGUUUGGAUGUAAAGUAGAAAUCAAUCACUGCAUGUUGACUUGGGUGUAGUUUCAUAUGAUCUAAUUGGCUAAAUACUUAAGCUUUUGUUUUAUGCUUAAUCAGUAAAACUACAUCAGGAGUUAACUAAAAUCUCAUCAGUAUAACUUAUUGUAAACCACAACAGAAGAUGAUAUGUCAUUCGCAACAUAUAUGUAUAAAGCAGGAUAUUGGAUUUAUAUGUAUAUAUAUUAUUGUAUGUAUGUAUCAAGAGAUAUUGGUAAGUCCCUUUUAUACAAAGAUUGUCCAUUUCUUGAGAUAUAAUAUCAAUAUGACAGAUGGAAAUAGUUGUAUGUAAAUCAUGAUUUAUGGUGCAUAAAAUAUUGACAUGGUUUUGAAGAAAGAAAUCACACAUACUGUCAUAUUGAAUCAGUCGAAACAUGCAGCUCUAACUUUCUUUAUUUUCUAAACAUUUUCUUUUUACCUAUGGUUUUUUGAUGUGUUAAGUAUUUCAUAGGGACAACUUUACAUUUGUUUACUUAAUCUUGAAAAUGACCUUUUAAGAUAAACCAAAAAUCUAUACUUAAUGUGUUAAGACAAUAACCUUUACCUAUUGUUCGUUGUUCGUUUUUCAAGAUAAAAUUUUACAUCAUAUGGGAAACACCAAUGGGUUAAUCCUGUUCUAGCUAAGAAAAUCAGCAUUAAAGCUAGCAAUCCUAUUUCAAGAUACACAAAUCACAAGGUCUUGGCUUCACAAACCUACCAGGGCAAUCUUGGAACAAAGAACUUCUUUUGCUGGGCCUCGCAUUGAGGAUGGGAAGAACUGUUCAUGGUGGAUGAUUGACCUUGGUCUCGAUCACCAGGUUCAUUUACAGAGGAAGCUAUUGGAAGAGAGGGUGUGACUAUGCAAUUUGUUCCAGGGAAUGCAAUUACUAGUAGAGGACUGAAGGUUGUUGUUGGCAACCUUCAAGAAUAUUAUAAUGAGAACAGAUUGUUGUCUAUAUUCGAUAUUGCAUUUCAGAAAAGAAAACUAUCCACCAGUGCAAUGUGAAAAAGUCUUAUCUCAGUCUAUUACAAAGACAAUGUCCGAGAGUAAUAUUCAGAAGGGAGAUGAUGAACUUAAAGGUUCACGACAUGCUAAUGACAAUAUCAACUUUUACUAAUAGUAGACAACAAGUGAAGAAGUUGAAUUUGACAUAAAAGUUGCAAAAGAUAGGCUUGAUAGUGACCACUAUGACUUAGUCAAAGUCCAACAAAAUAUUUUCUUAAAUAUCUAGCAGUUUGCAAUGUUGGAAAAUCUAUUUGUUAUGAGAGGAAUGGAAUGGAUUAUUCCAUUGUAAUGAAAAAGAAAAUGUUGUUUGUUUCAUCAUAAUG